rnacentral:rRNA from 1 species
CCUACGGGGUGCAGCAGUGAGGAAUAUUGGUCAAUGGCCGGAAGGCUGAACCAGCCAUGCCGCGUGAAGGUCAGUGCCCUAUGGGCGUUAAACUUCUUUUGUGCGGGAGCAAUAAUGGUCACGUGUGGCCAGACGAGAGUACCGUACGAAUAAGCAUCGGCUAACUCCGUGCCAGCAGCCGCGGUAAUACGGGGGAGGCAAGCGUUAUACGGAUUUUUUGGGUUUAAAGGGUGCGUAGGCUGUGAGGUAAGUCAGCGGUGAAAUGCCCCCGCUCAACGGGGUGAAGUGACAUUGAUACUGGCUUGCUGGAAGGCGGAUGCGGUGGGAGGAAUGGGUGGUGUAGCGGUGAAAUGCAUAGAUAUCACACAGAACACCGAUUGCGAAGGCAUCUCACGAAUCCGCGAUUGACGCUGAUGCACGAAAGCGUGGGUAUCAAACAGGAUUAGAUACCCUUGUAGUC